rnacentral:rRNA from 1 species
UCCAGACUCCUACGGGAGGCAGCAGUGGGGAAUAUUGCACAAUGGGGGAAACCCUGAUGCAGCAACGCCGCGUGAGUGAAGAAGUAUUUCGGUAUGUAAAGCUCUAUCAGCAGGGAAGAAGAUGACGGUACCUGAGUAAGAAGCCCCGGCUAACUACGUGCCAGCAGCCGCGGUAAUACGUAGGGGGCAAGCGUUAUCCGGAUUUACUGGGUGUAAAGGGAGCGUAGACGGCUGCGCAAGUCUGAAGUGAAAGUCCGGGGCUCAACCCCGGGACUGCUUUGGAAACUGUGUAGCUAGAGCGCUGGAGAGGCAAGCGGAAUUCCUAGUGUAGCGGUGAAAUGCGUAGAUAUUAGGAAGAACACCAGUGGCGAAGGCGGCCUGCUGGACCGUAACUGACGUUGAGGCUCGAAAGCGUGGGGAGCAAACAGGAUUAGAUACCCGUGUAAG